UGUAAGUGUAAGAAAUUCUAUGGACAUUUGAGUGUAAAUUACAGCGGAUGUGACAGCGGCUCAUGACAGCGGACAGUAUUAAACGAAAAUUAUCGGUGUGCCAAUCAAGCAAAGGGACAAGGAACUUCCGAAUAUGGCCUAACUGGGGGCACAUAACAUAACCUAAUCCUAAUAUUUAGAUUUGUAAAGAAUAUCCUGUUUGUUUUUAUUUUUUAUUGUCGAUUGUGCAGCGAAAUUGUGAUAGCAAAUCAAAUAUAAAGUAGUUUAUCGCCUACAGAACUGAAUUAGUCCAUAGCAGUUAUCAGUUUGCAAGUAGAAAGGGCUUUCUUGAGAAGCUUAUACAUGUAACUUGUAAAUUGUGGGAGUAGGGCAGACAGGGAAAAGUCUUAUUUUGUACUGUUCCCAAGGCUCCCCAUGCAAUACAUUUAAAUGAAUUAUCCAAACAAAGCCGGGGACAAUGGAUAAAAGCCACAAGAAGAACAGAUAUAAGGGAACUAAAAUUAAAAUAUGAAAAGUAAACAUUUUAUAAGUGGAACAACCACCAGAUAUUUAAAAGGUAUAAAAAGAAGAAACUGCUGGAACUUCAAAACAAAUGUGUUUGACUAGUAAAGAUUUGGAUAAAUAACAGGAGUUACUUUGGGCUAUAGCUACGUGCAGAUUUAUUUCCUUGUGGCUUCCUAUGUUAAUUCUUAUUAAUUAUACACUUAAAUAUGUUUUUAGUCUCAGGAAGAUUUUUUAUUUGAUUAUUUUUGAAUAAACAUUAUUAUUAUUAUUAUCUUAAUUUCCAUUAAAUAAAUUAACUGUAAUCAAUCAAGUAAUCGUUUAAAUUUAAUAAAUUAUCAAGUAUGA
rnacentral:lncRNA from 1 species